rnacentral:lncRNA from 1 species
UCUCCUGGCAGUCACCUGCUUGCUUAAACUCUUGACGGCUUCCCUCAGCAAUUAAAACAGCAUCCACCCCUGCCUUUUUAGGGCCCAGGAGGUCCUACUUGAUCUGGCUCUCACCUGUCUUUCCAAUCUCCCUUCAUUCUUCUCCAGUACGCUCCGGCUGCUGCACUGGCCUUAUCCUGUGCCUUGGACAUACUCAAGUUUAUCUUCACCUUAGAGCCCUUGAACUUGCUGCUCCUGCCCAUGACCAGCUUCUCAUUUUGGACACAGCUCCAGGGUCACCUCCUCAGAACGGCUUUUCCUCCCCAACUCCAGUUCUCUCUGUCACAUCACCAUUGAAUUGCCCUUAUGCUCCCUUUCAUGACUUUCCGCUCACUUCUCAACCCCUGCCUGUCUUCCCUUGCAAGAAGAAGAUCCCUCUGCAUAAUAUGGAAGAUGAACUGAAGGUGAACCAUGAUGGCAGCAGUAAAGAGGUCUGUGGCUGGCACUUUUCAAUGACUUCAUUGAUUAGGAUGCUGCAAUGUCCAAGUGGUCCUGGAAAUUGCACCCAAGAAAGAGACACAGAGACAUAAGGAGCCCUGAUGCCUCUGCUUCACUACAUUGCCAUGGCUCUCAGUUUUUCCUUUUUGUGUGUCAAACUUUCAAGGACAAUGACUUCUUAUUUUGCUUUGGAUUUCCAGGGGCUUAGUGCCUAAUACAUGUGAGAUCAAUAUAUAUUGAAAUAAAUUGGUUAAUUAUAAGUUUCCUAAUAGAUUUCCUUGUAAUUGUAAUUUAUUUACUGACCUAAUCUACUCUCAAUACCAGAAACAAAGUCUGUAUACAUCAAUUUUCUGUCACUGAGACAAAAUACCUGAGAAAAUCAACUUAAAGGAGGAAAGGUUUAUUUUGGCUCACAGUUUCAAUAGUUUCAGUCCAUGGUCACUUGGCUUCAUUUUAUCUGGGUCUGUGGUGAAGCAGAACAUCUUGAGGGAGGGGGCAAUGUGGUGAGGAAAUUUCUCACUUUGUAGUAGCCAGGAAGCACAGAGACAAAGGGUUGGGUUACCCAUCUACUCUCUGAGAGCAUGCCCCAAUGACCCACUUCCUCCAACUAGCCCCUUCCUCAUAAGGGUUCUAUCACCUCUCAAUAGCACCAUCUACUGAAGAGCAACCCUUUAACACUUAUACUUUUGGGGAACAUUUAAGAUCCAAACAAUAGCAAAGUCUUAAAGAAAAUCAGUCCUGUGCAUUUUCACUAGUUUAUAUUAUCUAUGCCAUCCCUUCCUGCAGAUACCCAUGCUUACCCAUCCACACUAGCAUAUAAAAUCUUUGAUGGCA